GCUGGCGGCGCGUUUAAGCAUGCAAGUCGAACGGUAGAGAAGUGCUUGCACUUCUUGAGAGUGGCGAACGGGUGAGUAACACGUAGGUGAUCUACCGCAGGGGUUGGGGAUAGCCCAUGGAAACAUGGGGUAAUACCGAAUACGCUCAUUUGGCUGUGGCCGGAUGAGGAAAGGCGCUUCGGCGCCGCCCUGCGAUGAGCCUGCGCCCCAUUAGCUAGUUGGUAGGGUAACGGCCUACCAAGGCGACGAUGGGUAGCCGGCCUGAGAGGGUGAUCGGCCACACUGGGACUGAGAUACGGCCCAGACUCCUACGGGAGGCAGCAGCUAAGAAUCUUCCGCAAUGGACGAAAGUCUGACGGAGCGACGCCGCGUGGGUGAAGAAGGCCGGAAGGUUGUAAAGCCCUUUUCUCGUUGAGGAAUAAGCACAGGAGGGAAUGCCUGUGGGAUGACGGUAGGCGAGGAAUAAGUCCCGGCCAAUUACGUGCCAGCAGCCGCGGUAACACGUAUGGGACGAGCGUUGUUCGGAAUCAUUGGGCGUAAAGGGCGCGUAGGCGGCGAGGUAAGCCUGGUGUGAAAGACCGCAGCUUAACUGCGGAACCGCGCUAGGAACUGCUUUGCUUGAGUUCAGGAGGGGGAGCUGGAAUUCCAGGUGUAGGGGUGAAAUCUGUAGAUAUCUGGAAGAACACCGGCGGCGAAGGCGAGCUCCUGGCCAUGAACUGACGCUGAGGCGCGAAAGCGUGGGGAGCGAACAGGAUUAGAUACCCUGGUAGUCCACGCUGUAAACGAUGUGCACUAGGUG
rnacentral:rRNA from 1 species